rnacentral:rRNA from 1 species
GAGUUUGAUCUUGGCUCAGAUUGAACGCUGGCGGCAUGCCUUACACAUGCAAGUCGAACGGCAGCAUGAUCUAGCUUGCUAGAUUGAUGGCGAGUGGCGAACGGGUGAGUAAUACAUCGGAACGUGCCCUGUAGUGGGGGAUAACUAGUCGAAAGAUUAGCUAAUACCGCAUACGACCUGAGGGUGAAAGUGGGGGACCGCAAGGCCUCAUGCUAUAGGAGCGGCCGAUGUCUGAUUAGCUAGUUGGUGGGGUAAAGGCCCACCAAGGCGACGAUCAGUAGCUGGUCUGAGAGGACGAUCAGCCACACUGGGACUGAGACACGGCCCAGACUCCUACGGGAGGCAGCAGUGGGGAAUUUGGACAAUGGGCGAAAGCCUGAUCCAGCAAUGCCGCGUGUGUGAAGAAGGCC